AUUGAACGCUGGCGGCAUGCUUUACACAUGCAAGUCGAACGGUAACAGGGAGCUUGCUCCGCUGACGAGUGGCGAACGGGUGAGUAAUGCGUCGGAACGUGCCGAGUAGUGGGGGAUAACGCAGCGAAAGUUGUGCUAAUACCGCAUACGUACUGAGGUAGAAAGUGGGGGACCUUCGGGCCUCACGCUAUUCGAGCGGCCGACGUCUGAUAGCUAGUAGGUGAGGUAAAGGCUCACCUAGGCGACGAUCAGUAGCGGGUCUGAGAGGAUGAUCCGCCACACUGGGGCUAGGACACGGCCCAGACUCCUACGGGAGGCAGCAGUGGGGAAUUUUGGACAAUGGGCGAAAGCCUGAUCCAGCCAUGCCGCAUGUCUGAAGAAGGCCUUCGGGUUGUAAAGGACUUUUGUCGGGGAGGAAAUCCCCAGCGCUAAUACCGCUGGGGGAUGACAGUACCUGAAGAAUAAGCACCGGCUAACUACGUGCCAGCCGCCGCAGUAACAC
rnacentral:rRNA from 1 species